rnacentral:rRNA from 1 species
UACGAAGGGGGCUAGCGUUGUUCGGAAUCACUGGGCGUAAAGCGCACGUAGGCGGAUCUUUAAGUCAGAGGUGAAAUCCCAAGGCUCAACCUUGGAACUGCCUUUGAUACUGGGGAUCUUGAGUCCGGGAGAGGUGAGUGGAACUGCGAGUGUAGAGGUGAAAUUCGUAGAUAUUCGCAAGAACACCAGUGGGCGAAGGCGGCUCACUGGCCCCGAUAC